rnacentral:rRNA from 1 species
UACGUAGGGGGCAAGCGUUGUCCGGAUUUAUUGGGCGUAAAGAGCGUGUAGGCGGCCGAACAGGUCAGCUGUGAAAACUCGAGGCUCAACCUCGAGACGUCGGUUGAAACCGUUUGGCUAGAGUCCGGAAGAGGAGAGUGGAAUUCCCGGUGUAGCGGUGAAAUGCGCAGAUAUCGGGAAGAACACCCGUGGCGAAGGCGGCUCUCUGGGACGGUACUGACGCUGAGACGCGAAAGCGUGGGGAGCGAACAGG